rnacentral:rRNA from 1 species
UCUUUUAGAUUAAAAUUAAAGGUCCAAUCUGCUCACUGAGGAAUUAAAGAGCCGCAGUAUUUUGACUGUGCAAAGGUAGCAUAAUCAAUAGUUUUUUAAUUGAAAACUUGAAUGAAAGAUUAGAUGAAAAAAUAUUUUUCUUUAUUUUAUGAAUUUAAUUUAAAUUUUAAGUUAAAAUUCUUAAAUGUUUUAAAAAGACGAGAAGACCCUAUAGAUUUUUAUUAACUUUUAAUUGAUAAUUAUUUUUUAAUUUUAUGUUAAUUUAAUUGGGGCGAUUUUUUGAUUUAAAUAACUUAAUAUAAAUGAACCAGUGAUUGUUGUAUUUUUUGAUCUAAAUUUUUUAAUAAGUAGAACAAAUUACCUUAGGGAUAACAGCGUAAUUUUAUUUACGAGUUCAUAUCUAUAAUAAAGUUUGCGACCUCGAUGUUGAAUUAAGAUAAAGUGUUGGGGUAGAAAUUAACAUUAUUAGUCUGUUCGACUAUAAAUUC